AGCGUAGACGGCAAGGCAAGUCUGAAGUGAAAGCCCGGUGCUUAACGCCGGGACUGCUUUGGAAACUGUUUAGCUGGAGUGCCGGGGAGGUAAGCGGAAUUCCUAGUGUAGCGGUGAAAUGCGUAGAUAUUAGGAAGAACACCAGCGGCGAAGGCGGCUUACUGGACGGUAACUGACGUUGAGGCUCGAAAGCGUGGGGAGCAAACA
rnacentral:rRNA from 1 species